AUCUCACAAUGUUUAGUAUUGUUCUCUUCACAUGCUUCUGAGAGACACAUCUCCACCAUCACCUCCUCCUCUCAUUCAUCCCCCAUGGGAUGACCUGGGAUGAGGUGGUUGGGUAUCAAUUCCAGUUCUGUGCACUGUGGUGUUUUCCCUAGAACAACACUCAUCUCACCAACUUUAUCUACCCCAGCUUAAGACAUGAAAUUUAAGAUCCCACCAUUGAUGGAAGGAGAGGCCUUUGUGUAGAGCCUGUUCUUGGUGCUCAGUAAUAGCAGAGGAUCCCACCAAUGCAACUGAGAAAUCACAGCAGUACAAGACGUGGCAGGCUGACACAGUAUGUUGCACCGGACAAACAGGUCUCCAAAAUACUUUUCAAAAUUAAAUAA